rnacentral:rRNA from 1 species
AUUGAACGCUGGCGGCAGGCUUAACACAUGCAAGUCGAGCGGGGGAGGUUGCUUCGGUAACUGACCUAGCGGCGGACGGGUGAGUAAUGCUUAGGAAUCUGCCUAUUAGUGGGGGACAACAUUCCGAAAGGGAUGCUAAUACCGCAUACGCCCUACGGGGGAAAGCAGGGGAUCUUCGGACCUUGCGCUAAUAGAUGAGCCUAAGUCGGAUUAGCUAGUUGGUGGGGUAAAGGCCUACCAAGGCGACGAUCUGUAGCGGGUCUGAGAGGAUGAUCCGCCACACUGGGACUGAGACACGGCCCAGACUCCUACGGGAGGCAGCAGUGGGGAAUAUUGGACAAUGGGCGGAAGCCUGAUCCAGCCAUGCCGCGUGUGUGAAGAAGGCCUUUUGGUUGUAAAGCACUUUAAGCGAGGAGGAGGCUCUUAAGGUUAAUACCCAGAGAUAGUGGACGUUACUCGCAGAAUAAGCACCGGCUAACUCUGUGCCAGCCGCCGCGGUAAAAC